rnacentral:lncRNA from 1 species
AACCAGCUGGGGACUUUUCUCAGAUCUUCACUGUGAGAACCUGCUAGAGUCCUUGGAGAUAAAACUCACGAAAGUAUAAAGAUAGCUCUAUGGCAAGGUCUUCUUGGAGUUUUUAACUCUCAGACUUAACCACAUUCAGCCUCCAGCAAUUCAUCAAUUACAGUUCAGGUUUUCCUAACCUUGUUCUGGUUCCUGCAGAGGCGCAAAGAUUUCUGCUUGUGAGUUUCUACUCUGGAAUGGAUGUUUUCUUUUAAAAAUGGUUUAUUGAAGUAUCAUGUACCUAUCUUAAGUGUACAGCAUGAUGAUGUGUAUGCCCAUGUAACCAUCACCUAGAAGGAUGAGAACCACAAGCGUGAGAACAUGAGGAUAAAUACACUUCGGGGAAAAAGAAAACAGACAGAGGCAGCAGAGAAUGAAGACGAGAAGAAGAGAAAAAGAGAAGUAGGAAGAGGAUGAAUUCAUUUCGCUUAUCUGGCAAAUGUGUAAUCUGAGUGAUAGAGGGAACAACAGAUUGGACCCAACUAGGAUCUCCCUUGGAGUGGAUCAGACUGAUGAUCUCCACCAUCCAAACGGUUCCUGAAUAAAAAAGGUGUCACCUACUUCAAUGUGACAUUGACCCCACCACUACAUCUUAAAGACACUG